CCAAAUCACACUCCCGAAAAGGCAAGUGAGCGAAUGUGUGCUAAGAAGCUCCUCGGUGCCAGGUGCUGUGUGCUUCUGCCCACCCUUUUCCAUUUAUAUCUCAGAACAACCUUAUGAAAUAACUGCUGAAACCCAAACAGAAGAGCAAGACCGACCCUCCUCUAUGUAAGAAAAUUCAACUGCCGGCUAACUUCAGACUCACUUACAGCACUGGCUCUUCCUGCCUGGCGGCUUUUGAACCAAAACCUCGGCUCACCCCAUCAGUCUGUCCUGCAGAGUUUGAAUGAACCAACUUCUAGAAUCAUGUUAGCCAAUUUCUUAUAAUGCAUAAAUAAAUUAGACAAUCUCUCCUG